UAAAAAUUAUUAAUAAAGAUUUAUAUGUAAAUUGGAGGACCUAUAUGUAAAUAUAGAAAUUACAAGGACUAAACUGCUAAGUUGCAAAAAAAAAAGAAAAAGAAAAGGGAAAACCGAAAAUUCGGUAUUAUCCCACCGCCUCCCACGCACUCUCUGUUUCUUCGAGAAACAGAGAGGAGCGGUGGGGCAUGAGGAGUGAAGAAAAGAAGAAGAAGAGGGAAAAGAAGAGAGGAGGAAGAAGAGAGGAAGAAGAGGGAGAAGAGAAGAAGAAGAAGAAGGAGGAGGUGGCUGCAGCGAGGGCUGCAGCGAGGAGCUGUGGGGCGUGGGGAGAAGAAGAGAGGAAGAAGAGGGAGAAGAGAAGAAGAAGAAGAAGAAGAAGAAGAAGAAGAGAGGAGGAUAGCUGCGGCAAGGCUGCAGCGAGGAGGUGUGUGGCUUUGGGGAGGAAAAGGGUAGAGGAGAAGAAGAGAAGGAGAAGAAGAGGGAAAAGAGAGGCAGCUGCAGCAGCCAGGGCUGCAGCACCUCUGUUUCCCACAGGUGGAAACAGAGGAGAGGAUGUGUGGGGCGUUGAGGAUGAAAAGGGAAGAAGAAGAAGAAGAAGAAGAAGAAGAUAGCUGCGGCAAGGCUGCAGCGAGGAGAUGUGUGGCCUUGGGGAGGAAAAGGGAAGAGGGGAAGAGGAGAAGAAGAAGAAGAGGAAGAGAAAGAGGUGUGAUACCUCUGUUUCCUGCAGAGGAAACAGAGGAGAGGGUGUGUGUGACGCCGGGGAAGAAGGGGCUGCAGCUGCGGCGAUGGCAGCUGCAGCUGGAAGAGAAGAAGAAGAGGAAGAUGAGCAGGGGAGGAGGGAGAGGUUGCGGCCGUGGCUGCGGCCGCGACUGCAGCAGUUGCAGCGGGGAGAGAAGAAGAAGAAAGGAAGGAGAAGGAAGAGGAGAAGGGAAAGAAGUAGCUGCGGCUGCGGUUGUGGCAGCUGCAGCUAUGGCAGGGAAAGAGGAAGAGAAAAAGGAAAGGAAGAAGAGAGAAAGGGAAGGAGAGGAAGAAGAGAGGAAGAGGAGAAGGGGCUGCGGCUGCGGCGAUGGCAGCUGCAGCUAUGGCAGGGAAAGAGAAAAAGGAAAGGAAGAAGAAGAGAAAGGGAAGGAGAGGAAGAAGAGAGGAAGAGGAGAAGGGGCUGCGGCUGCGGUGAUGGCAGCUGCAGCUGUGGCUGGGAAAGAAGAGAAGGAAAGGAAGAAGAAGAGAAAGGGAAGGAGAGGAAGAAGAGAGGAAGAGGAGAAGGGGUGGCAGCUGCGGCAGUGGCAGCUGCAGUUGGAAGAGAAGUAGGAGAGGAAAUAGAGUAGCAGAGGAAGAAGAGGCUGCGGUUGUGGUGGCUGCGGCCAUGGCUGCGACUGCGACUGCGGCAGUUGCAGCUGGGAAAGAAAGGAAAGGAAAGGGGGAAAAAGGGGCUACGGACGGGAUUGCGGCCGCAGCGGCAGCGACUGCGUAUGCAAUAGUUAUGUCUGCGAGAGAAGGGAGGAAGGAAGGUAGUGCGGUGGAAGGGGCUGCGAUUGUAGCAGCGGCGGCUGUGGCAGCUGCGUUUGGGAAAGAAAAAGAAGGAAUGAGAGUAAGAGAGAGCAGGUGACUGUGCCUCGAUGUUCGACACGUGGUGUAGUUGCGAAGAAAGGAAGAAAACGGGAGCACAAAACGAAACAGAGAGAGGACACGGAGAAAAAGUAGAAGGAUUUGGGCUGGCACCUUCUUUGAAUCUUCGGAUCGAAAUCAUUGAAAGGUCAGCUUGUCACUCUUCGAGAUGUUUGAUUUGGGCUGAGGCAGUGGAUAGCUAUUCAGAAUAAUGGGCAAGUUUGGUUGGUUAUUACGAUAUUGUUGUAUAAGUAUGUCUUGUAUGUAAUGAAAUGUUGUCGAUGAACCGAAAUGGAUAUACUGUGUCAAAGUGUUAGGAGAUCUCUCUUAUUUGGAAUUUCAGAAUGUUAAGUCUAAUUUAUGGUGAUAUGAACUUGUGGUGAAUAGUUGGAGUUCUGAUUGUAUAAUUUAUUUAGCUUGUGGAUUUAUAAAUAUUGUUCAUGUUUGUCAA